rnacentral:lncRNA from 1 species
GGUUCAGGUUCUUAGACUCGAUGCUCUUCAAAAAUUUUCUCUUCGAGCUCAAUCUUCCUCCCACUGCCUCUAUCUUGGAUAAUUUUUUUUUUCAAGAAGACAGUGUGACGGCUCAUAAUCACAUUGUAAUCCUCAAGAAGAUAGAAAUAGUAUCCCAUGAUUUUCUUAGGAUACCUUAUAAAGUGAGCCCUAAAAGAUCUAGCUUCUAACUUAUCCCCCUGCUAUUGCUUGACAUGGGCUGGACAUCUCCAAAUCUUGAGA